GAUGAACGCUGGCGGCGUGCCUAAUACAUGCAAGUCGAGCGAACAGACGAGGAGCUUGCUCCUCUGACGUUAGCGGCGGACGGGUGAGUAACACGUGGAUAACCUACCUAUAAGACUGGGAAAACUUCGGGAAACCGGAGCUAAUACCGGAUAAUAUAUUGAACCGCAUGGUUCAAUAGUGAAAGACGGUUUUGCUGUCACUUAUAGAUGGAUCCGCGCCGCAUUAGCUAGUUGGUAAGGUAACGGCUUACCAAGGCGACGAUGCGUAGCCGACCUGAGAGGGUGAUCGGCCACACUGGAACUGAGACACGGUCCAGACUCCUACGGGAGGCAGCAGUAGGGAAUCUUCCGCAAUGGGCGAAAGCCUGACGGAGCAACGCCGCGUGAGUGAUGAAGGUCUUCGGAUCGUAAAACUCUGUUAUUAGGGAAGAACAAAUGUGUAAGUAACUAUGCACGUCUUGACGGUACCUAAUCAGAAAGCCACGGCUAACUACGUG
rnacentral:rRNA from 1 species